CCUACGGGAGGCAGCAGUGGGGAAUAUUGCACAAUGGGGGAAACCCUGAUGCAGCGACGCCGCGUGAGUGAAGAAGUAUUUCGGUAUGUAAAGCUCUAUCAGCAGGAACGAGACAAGACGGUACCUGACUAAGAAGCCCCGGCUAACUACGUGCCAGCAGCCGCGGUAAUACGUAGGGGGCAAGCGUUAUCCGGAAUCACUGGGUGUAACGGGAGCGUAGACGGCUGUGAAAGCCUGAAGUGAAAGGCGGGGGCCCAACCCCUGGACUGCUUUGGGAACUGUACGGCUGGAGUGCAGGAGAGGUAAGUGGAAUUCCUGGUGUAGCGGUGAAAUGCGUAGAUAUUAGGAGGAACACCAGUGGCGAAGGCGGCUACUGGACUGUAACUGACGUUGAGGCUCGAAAGCGUGGGGAGCAAACAGGAUUAGAUACCCUAGUAGUC
rnacentral:rRNA from 1 species